rnacentral:rRNA from 1 species
AGAGUUUGAUCCUGGCUCAGGACGAACGCUGGCGGUGUGCUUCACACAUGCAAGUCGAACGGGGUAGCAAUACCUAGUGGCGGACGGGUGAGUAACGCGUGGGAAUCUGCCCAAGGGUGGGGGAUAGCAGACCGAAAGGUCUAUUAAUACCGCAUAUGCCGUGAGGUAAAAGGAGUAAUCCGCCCCUGGAUGAGCCUGCG